UAAGAAAGAAAAAGUCUUCUACCUAGAGAGGUUUUUUUUUUUUUUUUUUCUGGAGUCUCGCUCUGUCACCCACACUGGAGUGCAGUGGCGUGAUCUUGGCUCACUGCAACCUCCACCUCCGGGGUUCAAAGUGAUUCUCCUGCCUCAGCCUCCUGAGUAGCUGGGAUUACAGGUGCGUGCCACCACACCCAGCUAAUUUUUUGGUAUUUUUAGUAGAGACGGGAUUUCACCACGUUGGUCAGGCUGGUCUCGAACUCCUGACCUCGUGAUCCACCUGCCUCAGCCUCCCAAAGUGUUUGGAUUACAGGCAUGAGCCACUCUUCUAUCUCAGUACCAACAAGGCAGAUGAGCUGGAGUUCUGGUAAUCUGACACAGUUUAGUUCAUGCCAGUUUUGCUUUCUAUGAGGUCCAGAUAAACCAAGAAUGCUAUAUAAACAUGGGUGGCAUCUUCUGUAUCUAGUUCCAUCAUUUCUUUUUUUUUGAGAUGGAGUCUCACUCUGUCGCCCAGGCUGCAGUGCAGUGGUGUGAUCUCAGCUCACUGCAACCUCUGCCUCCUGGGUUCAAGCGAUUCUCCUGCCUCAGCCUCCUGAGUAGCUGGGAUUAUAGGCAUCCGCCACCACACCCGGCUAAUUUUUGUAUUUUUAGUAGAGACGAGGUUUCACCAUGUUGUUCAGGCUGGUCUCAAACUCCUGACCUCGUGAUCCACCCGCCUCAGCCUCCCAGCCUCCCGCCUCAGCCUCCUGGGAUUACAGGUGUGAGCCACCACACCCAGCCUAAUUUCAUCAUUUCUAAAUAUUUAAGGUGGGUGCCCAUCCAGGCGUCCUCGGGGGCCCACGAGGGAGCUCCACCGCAGUCGCCAAAGCCGCGAACGCCACACAGACCCAGGCCACUGCAGCCAGGGGUCAGCUUGAAAUUGCCGCGCUCCUCCAUGCCGGCUGGUGCGGCGCUCCCGUGGUGCACACUUCAUUGUAAGACUAUUCUUGCUGGUGCUGUUUAAGAAGUCCUGUUCUCGUCUCUGUUUCUCUCCACACUGUCUCUCCCACGUGAGCCUCAGGAAUGGAGGUGCUGGCGAGGAAGGCCCGAGGUGAUGAAAGGAGGGAGAGAGUUGCUAGAGCUUCUGCAGCGACCCCCCUGGGACAUAAGAACAACUCUGCCCUGCUGGGGUGAGCGGCCUGUCUAAGCAUCGAGAUCAUAGAACUAAGACAACGGACGUCCCUCUCUGUGCAAGAAGCCUUCCUUAGUAUCUAAAUCCAAUUUUUUUUUUCUGAUAAAGUAAGCUUAAAAAAUAAGCCUCAACCUAAAUACAUUUUAAUGAGCUACUCGGUGGACUUGGCUUGGCAGGGUUUUUACAUUUGUUGUUCAAAGCUUUCUUUGAA
rnacentral:lncRNA from 1 species